GACGAAGGAUGCAAGCGUUAUCCGGAUUCAUUGGGUUUAAAGGGAGCGUAGGCGGCUUUGUAAGUCAGUGGUGAAAUGUAUGGGCUUAACCCAUAACUUGCCAUUGAUACUGCAGAGCUUGAGUACAGAUGCCGUUGGCGGAAUAUGACAUGUAGUGGUGAAAUACAUAGAGAUGUCAUAGAACACCGAUUGCGAAGGCAGCUAACGAAACUGUAACUGACGCUGAGGCUCGAAAGUGCGGGGAUCAAACAGG
rnacentral:rRNA from 1 species